rnacentral:tRNA from 1 species
GCAUCAUUCGAUCACACCGCCAUAUUUUUGAAAUGCAGUGAAUUUUCAUCUGCUCGAUCGAAAGAUUUAUAGUAUUUUACUGGAAGAUGGUAUAUUUUAGCGAAGAUGGAACAUCAGGGAUGACUGAGUAACUUCCAGGUAAGAAUAUUGUUUUAUUUUCUAUAUAACAGAGCAAUUUUGAAAGGAAAUAUUUACUAUCUUCAUUCGUGAAUUUUGAGCAUGUGUUCCGUCUUAAAAUUUGAAUUCGCUGCGACAAUAUAAAUACAUUAGUUUUUAUACAAAGGCUUACAUUUGACUCAGCCUUUAUAUCAAAUUAUGUUUGUUGUAAUGCCAAAUAGACUAGUUGUGUAUAUGACGGAUUGCCAGAUCAAGUGUUCCUUGUAUAAAAUAAUAUAGCUUGGCAUCUACUUGAUUUACUCAAUUCUCAUAUGCCUACCUAGGUAUGUCCUAGGUAAACAUGGUUUGAGAGAAUUUAUCGAUUUGUUUCCAAUUAACUGGUACUUUCAUAAGUUUCUAUUAAUAUUUAUUCAUACAUAGGUGGGUCAGUUUAGAUAAAAGUUGUCAAUUUGAUGGGUUGUGUGGCAACUUUCAAACUUUAUAUGAAUUCAUUUAGUUUUAUAUGCUUGUGUGAUGUUAUGGUGUUACUCCGAGUGUAUAUCCACACCGGGCAGGCAUAUUUUACACCGUGGCCAGGUGGUGUAUAUAUAUACACUCAGUGUAACAUCACACUUGUAAGCAUCUUAUUCACGUGAGUACAUUACACCAACACAGCAAAUGAUUAUAAAAGAUUACACUGAUAUUGAAGGAACUAGACUCAGUUCCAAAAUAUAGCAUACUCGAACUGACCUGACCGCGUAGCUCGGUUGGAAGAGCAUUGGGCUAGUACUCCAAAGGUCGUAGGUUCGAAUCCCACCGUAGCCAGGUAUAUUUUUCAAGCCUGCCUGGUGAGGAUAUACAAUGAGAGUAACAUCACACAAGCAUCUUAUUCACCUCAGUACAUUACACCAACACAGCAAAUAACAUUUAUUUAUGCCACCUGCAUGAUCAGAUGAUCUGUUAAAUUAAAUCAAUAAUAUAUGUAACAACCUUUGGGCUACAUUUUAUAUAUUUAAGAUAUACACCCCGGCAAGGAUUUGAUGGUUUUUGGAAUUAUUACCUAUUUCACUGAUUCACUAUAAUGAGCCCAAUUUUCAGCACUUUGUUAAAUGUUAUCUUGCCUAAUGCCGGACAAUUUUAUUUGUCAAGGGAACUGUCUAGCUAGACUCUGCCCAUGUUUCAUGUUGAUAUAUUUAGAUACAAUUUUCCCUAACACUACCUACUGUAAGUACUUUGAUAUUCAACUCUGACAUGUCAUGUUAGACAAUUUUGAUAAUCGACUGUGGACUACUUGCCCAUAUUUCACCUAUUAACACCUAAGGAGCAAUUUCUUCUUAUGUUACAUACUUUAAGUUCUUUGUAGGGGUGUGCAGGGUAGAGUCUUUUUGCCCUCCAGCCAGAUAUGUUGGAUAGUUGAGGAUAUGUUGGAUAGUUGAAAAAUAUCCCUGGAGCCAGAUUCAGGGUAUUAUUCAAGUAUAUAAGGUUCAUGCCUCAUUUAAGGUUAAUUUAAGUAAUCAUUUUAAUUGGUUAAAAAGUGAUGGUGUUUAUAAAAUUUUGAUUUGAAAUAAUAGGAAAGAAAUUCACAGUCUAGCACUAGUAAACAUGCAUCAUUGGUAGCAAAAGCCUCACUUGCAUUAGUUCAAUGGUCAAAUCUGAAUUUACAAACAAGCAUAUAAAAUCUUGAAAAUAGUGUUUACAAGCAUUCCUGUUAUCAAUCAUUGAAUAAAAAUAUGAUAACCACCCCUGCUUUUUUAGCCUAAUCAAAUCAUCUAACCGGCUAAUCAAAUCAUCUAACCUGCAGUAACUGUAAAUCUUGAAGGCCUGAACCUUAUGUAAAUAAUACCCAGUAUUGGGUGGCCAUGUAACAGAAAAUGAAGUAAAAUCUCAAUAUCUGGCCAGAUAUGAUAUCCACUGCAUCCCUAGUUAUUUGUUAUGUUUCAUUGUCUUGAAAUGCUGAACGACUUUAUUGUUAAGGGGAGAGUGUUGGUAUGACUGUACAGUAUAUUCGUAUUCAACAUACUUAUUUAAUAUAUGCACCAUUUGUACCCUUUUAUAGUUAACCCUCAGAUGUGUAAUGGCUUCCCUUCCACAUGCACUGGGAGACCGACAGACCUACCAAAACAAGACAGGCAACCAAGGAGACCGGCAGACCCACCAAAACAAGACAGGCAAGCAUGUAAGUUUACUGAUAUUUUUCUUUGUGAUAUAAGUUAACACAUUGCGCCCUGAUGUGCCCUGC